UUCUCACAAUGAUGAUAUAAUUUGCGAUUGAGAACAGGUCUCCUGGGGCAUGCCUAGCUCCAUUAAGGGAUUCCUGUGGCAUGCGAUAACUUAAUUUAUCUGACUAGUG
rnacentral:snoRNA from 1 species